rnacentral:rRNA from 1 species
GACGAACGCUGGCGGCGUGCUUAACACAUGCAAGUCGAACGGAAAGGCCUGCUUUCCCUUGUGGAUUGCGGGUACUCGAGUGGCGAACGGGUGAGUAACACGUGAGUGAUCUGCCCCCAACUUGGGUAUAAGCCUGGGAAACUGGGUCUAAUUCCCGAUAGGACUGCAGGGUGGUGCCUGUGGUGGAAAACGAUUUUCUAGUGGUUGGGGAUGAGCUCGCGGCCUAUCAGCUUGUUGGUGGGGUAAUGGCCUACCAAGGCGGCGACGGGUAGCCGGCCUGGGAGGGUGGACGGCCACAUUGGGACUGAGAUACGGCCCAGACUCCUACGGGAGGCAGCAGUGGGGAAUAUUGCACGAUGGGCGGAAGCCUGAGGCAGCGACGCCGCGUGGGGGAUGACGGCCUUCGGGUUGUAAACUCCUUUCGACCGCGAGGAAGCCACCUGGUUGGAAGGGUGGUGACGGUAGUGGUAGAAGAAGCACCGGCUAACUACGUG